CAGUAGCCGCGGGAAUACGUAGGUGGCAAGCGUUGUCCGGAAUUAUUGGGCGUAAAGGGCUCGCAGGCGGUUUCUUAAGUCUGAUGUGAAAGCCCCCGGCUCAACCGGGGAGGGUCAUUGGAAACUGGGAAACUUGAGUGCAGAAGAGGAGAGUGGAAUUCCACGUGUAGCGGUGAGAUGCGUAGAGAUGUGGAGGAACACCAGUGGCGAAGGCGACUCUCUGGUCUGUAACUGACGCUGAGGAGCGAAAGCGUGGGGAGCGAACAGGAUUAGAUACCCCAGUAGUCCCUGUCUCUUAUAC
rnacentral:rRNA from 1 species